rnacentral:rRNA from 1 species
CGUCAGUCGUGCUGUGAAGCAUCCUCGUUAAGUCAGGCAACGAGCGAGACCCACGCCCACAGUUGCCAGCGUACUCUCUGGAGUGACGGGUACACUGUGGGGACCGCCGCUGCUAAAGCGGAGGAAGGAAUGGGCAACGGUAGGUCAGUAUGCCCCGAAUAUCCCGGGCUACACGCGAGCUACAAUGGUUGGUACAAUGGGUAUCUACCCCGAAAGGGGACGGGAAUCUCCUAAAACCAAUCUUAGUUCGGAUUGAGGGCUGCAACUCGCCCUCAUGAAGCUGGAAUCCGUAGUAAUCGCGUUUCAACAGAACGCGGUGAAUACGUCCCUGCUCCUU